CUGUGCUAGAUGGGAAGCUAGCGGUUUCCUGUAACCUGAAAUCCGCUUUAUGCAGGAUUGAAAUCCGUAGAGAGGGCUUUGCUGAGUUUGUUUUUUCAAAUAAGCGAUGUUGAAGUUUUCAGCUUUGCGCAAUGUAUUGUUUUUAAACCCCGUCAGAUCCGGAAGGAAGCAGCGGUAGAAAAUUUGUAUAUGUGCCGUAAAUCUCUGAGACUGAGUUGGCUGUUUGGAAAAGUUUACGACCAGAAGGUUCAAUCUACGGUGCACAG
rnacentral:SRP_RNA from 1 species